GACGAACGCUGGCGGCGUGCCUAACACAUGCAAGUCGAGCGGUCGGAGGGGAGACCUUCCGGCAGCGGCAGACGGCUGAGUAACACGUGCGUGACCUACCCGCGCGUGGGGGAUAACCCUGGGAAACUGGGGCUAAUACCGCAUGAGCACCCUCUCGACGGGGGAGGGUGGAAAGCCGCAAGGCGCGUGCGGAGGGGCGCGCGGCCCAUCAGCUAGUUGGUGGGGGAAGGGCCCACCAAGGCGAGGACGGGUUGCUGGUCUGAGAGGACGGCCAGCC
rnacentral:rRNA from 1 species